UAUAGGUACAGCAGGCAAAUUCUCCUAAUGCCUGGCCCUCAGGGAAGCCUACAGAGAGAGGCAAUUUGGAAAACCCUGUUUUGGAACAGAGCAGCUCCUUAAUAGCUCCCCGUGGAAGAGGGAUUCCUGCUGCAAAUGACAUGACAUCACAGGCACACAGCUCAGGUUGGAGCCAGGACAGCCAUUCCUUCCUUCUUGAGGCUCUCGGACCUAGGCGAUCCCUGGCCUGCACCACUAGGCUGACUUAAUCUCCUUGGUUUUCCUGGUUUCUGGAAGAAAAUGUGGCAGACAUUAUCAUUGGCAAGUUCCUGCCAUGCAGCAUCAGUAAAAUUUGUUUCUUCCCUUUUUUUUUUAUCCUUUUAUAAAUUUAACCUCUUGCCAACAGAUUUCGAUCACCAUGUACUUAGCAUUACCUGUAUGAAGGCCGAAGCAAUAUGAAGACAAGAAUUUGUUUUCUUCUCUAUUUGAUUUUUAAAUUAUAGAAGACUCUAAUGCUGUCAACUGGCAAAUGUUUAGAGUUUAAGGUAAACAUCAUUCCAACUUUUAUAAUGUUUAGAUUUUAAGGUAAACAUCACUCCAACAGAAAACUAGUUUUGAAGAUGAACUUUUUUUAAAACCUAUUUUAUAAAGAAUUCUCCUGAACACAUAUUUUCAAAUUUGAAAAAGAAAACAAGGGGUUCGUAGUUCAAUGCAGCUCUGAAUAUUUAGGAUUUCUUCCAUUAACUGUUCUGCUUUGUGUCACUGCUGCAUGAGGUGCUCCAAAAGACUGAACUGAGGACACCAGCCCUCUGAAAGGAAUAGCUAUGUGUUCAGGGAGGGAGGAAGUGCUAGCUGCUGGCUUGGGACUUCCCAGGUCACUAAUUUUGAAACCCUCCAAACACUGACCUAAAGAUCAAAUUCUUGUCCUCAAUAGCAAGGAUCAAAAUGUUGGAAGGCUGUAUUCUGUUUCCUCAUCUAGCACCAGGACUCUGUUGGGAGAGUUGCAAUUAAAUGGACUCUAAGUCCA